ACUCCUACGGGAGGCAGCAGUGGGGAAUUUUGGACAAUGGGCGCAAGCCUGAUCCAGCCAUGCCGCGUGCGGGAAGAAGGCCUUCGGGUUGUAAACCGCUUUUGUCGGGGAAGAAACGCUCUGGGCUAAUACCCUGGGGUAAUGACGGUACCCGAAGAAUAAGCACCGGCUAACUACGUGCCAGCAGCCGCGGUAAUACGUAGGGUGCAAGCGUUAAUCGGAAUUACUGGGCGUAAAGCGUGCG
rnacentral:rRNA from 1 species